AGCAACGGCACCGGCUAACGGGAGCGGUGCCACUCACCGGGCAGCAGCACCGGCUAACGGGAGCGGUGCCACUCACCGGGCAGCAACGGCACCGGCUAACGGGAGCGGUGCCACUCACCGGGCAGCAACGGCACCGGCUAACGGGAGCGGUGCCACUCACCGGGCAGCAACGGCACCGGGUAAUGGCAUGGAGUGACAGCACCGGGUAAUGGUACUGGAACAAGGCACGGGAUAAUGGCAGCAGGCAGUGGCACUGGGUGAUGGUACCGGGCACCAGCGCAGGUUAACGGCACCAGUGCCAGCAGCAGCACGAGUAAUGGCACAGGGUGUCAUAAGUGAGUAGUGGCACUAGCACCAGGUAUGGGCAGAAUCCAAAACAGCUUCAGCCUUCAACACCUUCAACACAGUUUCAGCAGCUCUGGCAGGACACAAACCAGCACCAGAAUUUGGCAGUAAGUACCGGGAAAGCCCAAAGUAGCACCAAGCCUUGGUUCUGGGAACAGGAAUGACCAAAUCUGUACCAGGUGGCCACAGAGCUGCCUUGUGCUGAUGCCAGGCCCUCUGCGUGAAGCAGCCGUGGCUGCACGGUGCUCGUUCCCACCACAGGCCUGGGCUGACACUUGGCAGCCACGUACACGAGCAAGAUCCCCAGCGCUGCUACAGCCUCGGGCACCUGCUGGGACAGGACACUGCAUCCCCUUCCCCAAGCUGCCACGUCCCCUGCAAGCUGUGAGGAGACCCAAGGCACUGCCAGCUCCUCUGCAGUUGCUCAAACAGGGAAAAUUAACAGCAACCAUAAGAAAACCAUCCUGAGGAGCUCUUGCACAGCUACCACUCACAGCAGGCUCCUCCUGGCAGCACUGGCGCCCCAGGGCCGUGGGGUACCCCGGGUGAUGGGCACCCCGGGGUGCGGCUGCUGUGCGGUGAUGGGCAGAGGCGGCGGCAGGAAGCAAUACUGGGCGUGCUCGUUCUGCCCCAGCACUCGCACCCGCCGCAUGGGAUCUCCUGGGCUUUCACUUUCGUUACCAGCUCAUCUUCUGUGGCCUGAAAAAACUCUGGAGGGAAAUUCAGCAAACGCAGGUCCCUCUCCUGCUCUGGGCUGGUAGAAGCACAGGUGACCCUUCCCCCGUGGGAAUCCAGGAAGGAGAGGUUUGUCUCUCCUUGUGCCAGUGCUGGAAAAGGAUCACUCUCAGACAGUUGAUGCACCAGCAAUUGCAAAUCACUUGGCCGCUGUGUCAAAGCACAGCCUCAAGUUCCCACCUCUCUACUGCUUUUAUCUAUUGCUCUUGUACUAAAGUCCUCCAGCUCGGGCUCCUCACUGCCUUAUCCAGCUCCACGCUUCCAAGAGAUAAAUACCCGUGGGCUGGGCAGGCACCAGCCCAGCACCUGCUCCAUGCAAACGCCAACCACAAAACAGUGCUUUCCAAUUCACCAGCCCCACUCUGAGCCUGCAGCAGCCCUGGUGAAUGACUGAAUGAGUGAAUCCAGCCCGAACAAACCCGAACAAAUGUUUUGCCGCCUGUGCUCACCCACUUGGGAGAAUCUCACGCACAGAGGCUGACACAUCGGUGCUGAGCUGCUGCCAGCAGAGCCCUGGCUGCCAUUCCCAGUGCUGCUGGGGCACUCCAGACCUCACAGAGAGGUGAGCUGGGACCCUGGGAAGCAGGGACAGGCACACAAUGUGAAGCCAGCAGCCCCCACACUGUCUGUAUUCAAUGAGACGAAAGAAAAGGAGCGGAGAAGGCAGCGCAGGGCCCUGGUGCCUGCCCACCCUGCUUGGCCAGGACGCUCUUGCUCUGGUCCCAAGGAAAUCUACGAGCUGGCUGGUGGGGAUGUUACCCAGGAGAAAUUCUUUCUUUCCAGAAGAAAAGAACAGAGGAACAGUGACUGCAGCAGAGAUCGAUAGAGAGGCUGCCCCUGGAUCUGCCUCACCUCCACCCCCAGCGAUGCCCUGAAGUGGCCCCAGCUGUGCCCUGGCUCUCUUUGGUCCUCAGCAAGUCCCGGGAAGCCUCUGGGAAGGUGGGCAUUGUCCAGGCUGAGGCACAGCCGGACGCACGGUCACCUCGCAUGAGCUCAGCAGGAUGCAGAAUGACGCCGUGCAUUCCGGGGACAGAGGGAGCCUGGAGCUUCGUAAUGGAUUUCUGAGAAAAUUGCCUCUGUGUUUGGAGAAGGAACGCAAAGAGUGCAGGCGGAACAGCCUUCCUCUCUAAGUGGCAUCUCAAGGGUCUUAAUUAUUUCUCAGGAGUGGAAACAUUUAUUUAGGCGGCUCCGGAGAGGUCCUGACGCUUUUGGCUACUGCCCUCCGGGCACAUCCUGUAUGCGAGGCUCCUCUGCAAUCCUCCCUGCUGCUCCCGGGAUGUGCAGGGUGCUGAGCCUGGGCGAAACACAAACACCCAACCACAUCACCUGCGGGCAGGGCACAGCCUGGGCUCCAUCCCCUCCUGCUUAGGGCAGCAGGACGUCUCAUGGGGCAGCCCAGCCCCAUCCCAUAUCCCUGCUUUGCAUCCCUCACCCUCCCAGGUCUGUGCUGAGGCCACAAAGCCCUGUUGUGAUAAUCCAGCCCAGCUAAUGUGAACCAGAUGAAUCCCCACAUUAGUCACAGAUUCAUGUUUUCCCACAAAGGUCCCAUUGGAGAACCAGUCCGGAUGGGCCCUGCGGGGUUCCAGCCCUGGUGCUGGUGCGAGAGGCAGCCUGUGGAGAGGGGCCAGCAGCCCAGGGGACAGGGCAGCAGCACAGACCCUGCCAGAACCCGGCCAGCCCAUGGGCAGAGGGAAGUGGGGGCACCAGAGAAGCUUGUCGCUGGCACAGGCUCAGCCUGAUGGUGCCUAGUGCCAGCAGGAGGGGAUGAUCUGCUCCAGAAAAAAACGGAAAUGACAUUUUGUCCAAGGGGGAAUUUCCACAGGAAACCUCUGCUUCCAGCCACUCGGGAAUAACCCAGCAAACGCUUGGCCUCAGCAGCCAAGCAGUGCCAUUGCUUGGGCAAAGACUCUUUGUUUCCUCCACAGCUCCUCCAGCUAGGAAAGAACAUCCAGUUUCUGCUGCUGAAACAUGCAGGACAGCGAGAGCCCUGCAGGAUCUGCAGAGGGCACCAGAACCCCCCAUCAGCUCAGUGGUUAUCUCUACACCUGAGGGGACACGGCAGGGACUCUGCAGCCCAGCUGGGACCAAGGACACAAUCCUCUCAUGCCCACCCCAGUGCCGGGGCUGGCUGGGGGCAGCAGGAGGGCUGCGCUUGGCCACCACCCCAUGCUGGUGCAUCCCAACAUCUCUGCACUUCCCCAUGCAUCUCUGCCCUCUCCCUGCAUCCCUGCUCUCCCUUGCAGAGCUCAGGUUGCCACAGUAACCGCUCAGUCCCAGCUGCUCCUGCUCCUGCCACAAUCGUGCUGCCACAGGUCAGCCCAGUCCAGCAGCUGCAGCAGGGCCAGGGCCCUUCACCCCAUGUUGGGAUGAGUGGAGCCCUCGGUGGUGGUGCCACCACAGCCAAACACUGCAUUCUGAGCCAGGAUGGGACACCUGUAGGGAAGCAGGCAGGUUGUGUCCUCCUGGAAUGGCUGGGAGGUGGUGUUUUUGGAGAUCACGCUGUGCUGCAGCUCCAGGUCUGACCUCUGCCACAUGUGGCAGUGGAAGCCACCACUGCUUGGCUCUGCUCUGCUGUGUAUUAAUCUGAGUGUGAAGCAAUAUUUGACUGUUGUGUUCUGAGCACUGGAAGCAGGGAUUGGGAUGGCUCUUGGCUUGGGCAGCAGUGGCAUGUGCUCUGCAGCUCAGCAUGUGUUGCUGUGGGAAGAUCCUGGGAGGGCAGAGGAGACCCUCAGGCCGGUCCUUGGGCAGGUGGCAGCUGAAUCCCCGGGGUCUCUGCCUCCCACCCCUCACUGCAGCCCUGCUCAUUCAGUUGCUUGGCCCCAGGGAUGGGGCUGGAGUCGCAGAUAAACUGUGGCCUCUCUAA